GGUGCUGGCCAGAAGGCUCAAGAGUACCAAGUACAGGCGGUCUUGGGCGUGUAGUGGAUGUCCUUUGGCGUGUUGAGCGCCUCUACCCCAAAUUGGGGGAAAGGAAGCGCUGCAAAUUUGUUGAUUUGCAUACCGCCGUUGUAGGCUUUUGCUCGAUGCUGCUGAUGAGAGGAGAGGAGAGGCCCCGACUUGCUGCAAUCCGCACCAUCCGCAUGACUCUCAUUUGACUCACCAUCGUCAGAUGGUCAUGGUUGUCGUGGUGGUGGUGAUGGUUGUCGUGCUGGUGGUGGUGGUGCUGGUGGUGGUGGUGGUGAUGAUGAUGAUGAUUCUCCUUAUUAUUUAUAUUAUUAUGGCGCACAGCUGAUGAGGAGGCGAUGGUUAUGGAUGGGGCCUCACUCCGAUAUACAUAUAGGCAGGCGGCUGGCAGAGGUUAAGGCCUGACUUCUGCUCCCAGUCGACCCAGUCGACCCGGGUUCAAAUCCGCCUGCCGGCUCCUCGGGUGUUAGAGGAGUGAUGAAAUGGGAGGUGGCCCCCCAUCUUAUGGACGGUGUAGGACGUGAUAAUAUCAACUUGCGAGCUGACCAGGAACUAAGUUGAUGCGCCGUUGAUCCGCUAGAUUUGGUUGGAUGCUGGUGGUGAGUUGCCGAACCCAACGAAUACAUUCUAAAGUCGGAUGGGGUGACGGAUUAGGGUGCCCCUCUAGCAGGGGAGAGCAGGGACUGCCCCGGGAAAGGGGGCCGCUGGCGAAGUUAACCACCCUGUAACAACAUACAUACAUGGCUGUUGCUGGUUCGGUGCUGGUCACCUGCCAUCAUUCCUUGCAUACAUACAUACGUAAACGCACAUGCAAGCACAUGCACCACCGGCGGUAUAUCCACACACCAACACACACUCUCUCUCUCUCUCUCUCUCUCUCUCUCUCUCUCAAAAACUAAUCCAUACACACACACACACAUACAUACACACACUCUCUCAAAAACGUCCCCCCAACAAUUGUAUCUCUGUGUUUGUGAGGUUGGGAAAGAUUCACCCGCCCCCUAACAUUCACCAGCUCCCACACCGUGUACAUGUGCUGAUGUACUACUCUGUACUGCUGUAUUG
rnacentral:lncRNA from 1 species